AAUAGCCGUUGUAAUCUUCCAGUGACGAAAGAAUAUGAGAAGCUAUAGACGUCCCCCCUUUCCCCUCCCACGUUCACGCAUGCGAUAAACACACGCGCGUCUAUAUAUUUACUAUUCCAGGAUUCCUCACACAAACAGGUAGCCAUUCUAGAGAGUGGUGGUUUAUUGUGGCUCAUGCUUCAAUGGAGAGAAGGGUGGCUUUCGCGGCGAUCAAGAUGCAUUCGAUGAUCCGAACUGUAAGCAUUGUAGUAAAUCUGUAGCUGGUCCGAUUCGUCUUCUUCGCCGAAGGGAUUUUCAUUCAUUCUGCUAAGAGAUUCACAAUUGGACCUGAUCCCAAACAUGGCCCUGCUUUCUUUUCGAUCGUUGCUCGAGUGAGAAGACAAAAGGUCCUAACUCCCUCAUGAAAGACGGCAACUGUAAUGGCUGUGAAGGAGACCUUAAGGCCGGCCUCUCGGCACUUUUUUCGCUACAUUAUUCUUGGUGGAUGAGAUUUAUUGAUGCUCAGGGUGAUUAUCGAAGGCAUGUCCCGUAUCCUCUAGUUGCUAGUAGCCUUUUACCUAUGAAUCGUUUGAAUUUAAAUCAUUCUUUUACUCUAUUUUUUUUUUUUUUUUUUUUAUAAAACUCAAGCAAUCUAUCAAUUUUAAGGUUUGUCGUGGAGCAUGUUGGUGCUCGAAUUUGAUAGGGUGGGGACUGUUGUUACUUCAGUUUAGAACCAUGCCAUGGAGGGCUCUGGAAUCGGGGUGUUACUCUACUUAUGCUUGUUAUCUAAAUUCUUGAUGAAUUUAAUCGCUCUCUCUUUUGCC